UGCUAUCAUGCAAGUCGAACGCGUUCCUCGCUGAUGAAGUUGAAGUGCUUGCACGGAUUCUGAUUCAACAUUUGGACGAGUGGCGAACUGGUGAGUAACACGUGGGUAACCUGCCCUCAAGCAGGGGAUAACACUUGGAAACAGGUGCUAAUACCGUAUAACAAUGAAAACCGCAUGGUUUUCAUUUGAAAGAUGGUUUCGGCUAUCACUUGAGGAUGGACCCGCGGCGUAUUAGCUAGUUGGUGAGGUAACGGCUCACCAAGGCAAUGAUACGUAGCCGACCUGAGAGGGUAAUCGGCCACAUUGGGACUGAGACACGGCCCAAACUCCUACGGGAGGCAGCAGUAGGGAAUCUUCCACAAUGGACGAAAGUCUGAUGGAGCAACGCCGCGUGAGUGAAGAAGGGUUUCGGCUCGUAAAACUCUGUUGUUAAAGAAGAACAGGUGUAAGAGUAACUGUUUACACCGUGACGGUAUUUAACCAGAAAGCCACGGCUAACUACGUGCCAGCAGCCGCGGUAAUACGUAGGUGGCAAGCGUUGUCCGGAUUUAUUGGGCGUAAAGCGAGCGCAGGCGGUCUUUUAAGUCUGAUGUGAAAGCCUUCGGCUUAACCGGAGAAGUGCAUCGGAAACUGGGAGACUUGAGUGCAGAAGAGGACAGUGGAACUCCAUGUGUAGCGGUGAAAUGCGUAGAUAUAUGGAAGAACACCAGUGGCGAAGGCGGCUGUCUGGUCUGUAACUGACGCUGAGGCUCGAAAGCAUGGGUAGCGAACAGGAUUAGAUACCCUGGUAGUCCAUGCCGUAAACGAUGAGUGCUAAGUGUUGGAGGGUUUCCGCCCUUCAGUGCUGCAGCUAACGCAUUAAGCACUCCGCCUGGGGAGUACGACCGCCAGGUGAAACUCAAAGGAAUUGACGGGGGCCGCACAAGCGGUGGAGCAUGUGGUUUUAAUCGAUGCUACGCGAAGAAC
rnacentral:rRNA from 1 species